rnacentral:rRNA from 1 species
UGGGAAUUUUGGACAAUGGGCGCAAGCCUGAUCCAGCCAUGCCGCGUGCGGGAAGAAGGCCUUCGGGUUGUAAACCGCUUUUGUCAGGGAAGAAAUCUUCUGAGUUAAUACCUCGGGAGGAUGACGGUACCUGAAGAAUAAGCACCGGCUAACUACGUGCCAGCAGCCGCGGUAAUACGUAGGGUGCAAGCGUUAAUCGGAAUUACUGGGCGUAAAGCGUGCGCAGGCGGUUUUGUAAGACAGAGGUGAAAUCCCCGGGCUCAACCUGGGAACUGCCUUUGUGACUGCAAGGCUUGAGUGCGGCAGAGGGGGAUGGAAUUCCGCGUGUAGCAGUGAAAUGCGUAGAUAUGCGGAGGAACACCGAUGGCGAAGGCAAUCCCCUGGGCCUGCACUGACGCUCAUGCACGAAAGCGUGGGGAGCAAACAGGAUUAGAUACCCUGGUAGUCCACGCCCUAAACGAUGUCAACUGGUUGUUGGGAAGGUUCCUUCUCAGUAACGUAGCUAACGCGUGAAGUUGACCGCCUGGGGAGUACGGCCGCAAGGUUGAAACUUAAAUGAAUUGACGGGGU